rnacentral:rRNA from 1 species
AGGAGUUCUAGUUCAAAAGGUUGCAAAUUGCAGCAUUACCGCUUUACGAUGAGACUGCGGCGGAUCAGGCUGUUGGCGGGGUAACGGCCCACCAAACCGAUGACCUGUAGGGGAUAUGAGAGUAUGAGCCCCGAGAAGGGCACUGAGACAAGGGCCCUAGCGCUACGGCGUGCAGCAGGCGCGCAAACUCCACAAUGCGCGUAAGCGUGAUGGGGGGAAUCUGAGCGAUUCACUUCGGUGAAUCUUUUGCCAAGUUUAGUAAGCUUGGCGAAUAAGUGCUGGGCAAGACCGGUGGCAGCCGCCACGGUAAUACCGGCAGCACAAGUGGUGUCCACGAUUAUUGGGCUUAAAGCGCUCGUAGCUGGCCGAUACCGUUUCGUGUGAAAUAUUGGUGCUCAACAUCAAUGCGUGCACGAAAUACCUAUUGGCUAGGGAGCGGGUGAGGUCAGGAGUACUUAUGGGGAAGGGGUAAAAUCCUAUAAUCCUAUAAGGACUAACGGUGGCGAAGGCGCCUGACUAGAACGCAUCCGACAGUGAGGAGCGAAGGCUAGGAGAACGAAUCGGAUUAGAUACCCGAGUAGCCCUAGCAGUAAAUUAUGUAGACUCUGAUGUUGCAGAUAUCUCGAAUAUCUGCAGUACCGUAGCGCAAGUGUUA